CAUGUUGGUGCCAUGUACUUCAGCUCCAACCGGUGAGAGACGCACAACGUAAUCUCCGGCGGCCGGAGAAAAAAAUACUUGAGGAAGUUUAGUUUUGAGUGGUGUAAGGAAGGAUCAAUAUUGAGCCAGAAACAGUAAUGGUUUGGUUUCGACACUAAGGAAUGUUUUAGGGAGUUCCAAGUGAGAGCUGAGGAAAGAUUGGGGAGGGUGUUCGUUGAAUUCUACCUACAGCUUCGAAUUUUGUAACGAUUCUAUCCAUAUUGGGUGAAGAAUGUAAAAUUUACUUACCUGAGGCUGAGAAUGAAGUAGUAGGCUGAGGUGGUUUGCACAUUGAAUCUCCAGCUUCCUGAACAUGCUAUGCUAGCAGUCGCCAAGAUAACGAACAAAUAAGACAAGCCAAGGUCGGUGGGUGGGUGAUUCACUGAUUCCCAUUCAGUUGGAGAAAACAUUAGAGUUACGGAGGCCGAGCAUCGGCGUUUUUCACGGAGCCCGUGCAAUCUCUCAAUAACGUUGAUUUUCGGCUUUGUUCGUACGUUCGGCUGGCGCACAUUGAAUACGCGCGAAGCGAAUUGUGAUUUCCAUGAGUUAUAGGACUUGUGCGAAAGAAUUCAGCAUGAAUUGAUGUGCGUUUUCUUCCGGAUACGUGUUUCCGAUGGCCGAGAAGACCAAUACCUCGAUGAAGCACAAGGUUGUGUGAUUUGAAUAAGCAUAGGUAGACAUUAUGAGAGCCUCUUCUCGAUUAGGUGUGAAGCGCAUUUCCAGAUGAAGCAAUGGUAGAGUCUGAUGACGGUUGCUCCAGGAUUGCCUGAAGGUGGAGAGCUGUAAUAAGAAGUAGUAUCAGACAUAGCUGAUGAUGCCAAUUAGACCACCUGUGGUUUGGAUUGAUUAUUCAACAUCAGCAAAAUCUGACGUGACAUGAGUUGUAUGUAUUCAUACACAUGUAUAUAUACAUACACAUAUAUGUUUUGUUCAGAUUAUUUGAUGGAGGGAGGCUGCAGACUACAAAUUUCAAGCAGCAAACUUCUAGGAAGGAAAGCAAAAAGAUUUUAGAAAGGAAAGGGGACGCAAUAAUGUGUUCGAGUUUGAACAAUUAGUAGUAGUAGUAGUAGUUUGAGCUACGAGCAACGGCAGCUUCAAGAAAAUGGCACUCCCGGUAUAUGAUCAUCGAAGAACUCAAGGACAUUAAUUAAGGAGACCCUUUCCAAAUUCGAUGCUGAUAAUGUAAGCGAACAUCUCACUCCUUUGUAAAUGCUUCUACUUUCAUGCUUAGAAUUAUUAUCAGAAGUACUAAUUUAAUACAAAGAAUAAGUUAAUUAAGCAUCGAAGCAAAUUCGACCCAUAUUCUGCACUUAAUGUUAGUUUGCCUACACAAUCAUUGCACAUCAUAGGAUUUGUUUACUUUAACGGAUUAAGUAAUUUGCAUG